CCACGUGCAGUGAUGGCCCCGAAGCGGAAGAGCAGUGGUUCCGGCGACUCAGAUACACCACGAGAAGCGGCCGAGUGGGUCCCUUCCGUGGGAAGAUCACCAGAGAAACUUCCCUACUUCUCUUGCCCAAAGUCCUUGAAACAAACUGCUGCGAAAGUUGUGUGUUUUGUUCUUCACACGGAAAAGGAAGAGCAGAGGAAGCACUUAGGGUUUGUGUAGGCGCCUCCCGGCCCUGUGGAGUCACCUCCUGAGUGUCUGCUGAAGUAAAUUGAACCAUCUCAGCAACAUGGUGCCACCUGAAGCAGGCAAAAGUGUCUCUGGCUCGCUUCCUGGCAAGGCUAAGCUAUUGGAGGCAUUCACUGGACACCAACACCACAGACUCAAGACACAAGCACCACGUGGGUCAGAGAGGAAACUCCGGCGCUCCUGCAAAGAGUAUCUGACACCUUAGGAGACCGAAUCACGUGCUGAACCAAUGUAGCUAUCUGAAUAUCA